CUGUUUUCUGGGCAUCGGCUGCUCGGUGAAGCUCAGUGGCACAUGUUCGUCACCCUUUUGCCCUGUUCCGUGGUGCGCAGGCGCUGUCGUGCGCGUGCCUUCAACUGUCUCAAACUUACUGUACCCCCUUCUCCAUUCCCCUUGUCAUCUCUGCCUGUUGUGCUCUUGGUUCAUCCUAAAAGAAUGGCUUCAGUGAGGAAUCUGGUUGCCAUGGUUAUUAUCGUGAUUAUCACCGUGGUGCCAGCCACAGUGAUGGGCUGAGGCAGGUGGAUCACUUGAGGCCAGGAGUUCAAGCAGAACAUGAACCAAGUGUGGGACUCUUCCGAACUCGGGGCUCUAUGCAGUUGCACAGGCUGCAUGCCCAUGAAGCCGGCUGUGUUCACAGUUGUUCCCAGCUAAUGCCAGAGGGCCUCUUUGCUUGAAGCCAGCAGCAGGUUGGGACCACUCUGGUGAACUGCCCUUCUUUGGACUUGGGCGUCUCAGUUGCUCCAUUUCUGCUCAAUGGGGCUGUAUUAUAAUCCUCACCAUAGCCUUCUGAGACCUGCUGACGGCUGUGAGAAGGGAGGAGUGUGCUAGGAACAGCCCUGGCUGGGGAGCCAGGAGACCUGGCUGGGUUUCCUCUCCUGAGUGAGCUGGGUGUGGGCUAGGAUUGUAUGACAACUGACCUUGGCUUGCCCUUGAAUGAGUGCUUGCUAAGAGAGAAGUAGUCCUGGGAACCCAAGAAGGGUGGCCCCGAGGAGAUAACAAUGGACACAUUAUUUAAACUUUUUUCCUUCUUUUGCAAUUCUGCAUAGUCAUCCUCUCUUGCACAGAACUUCAUCUAGAAUGGUAGGACAUCACCCAUAACAGUCAUAUUCAUCAUGCAUUACCUUAUGUGUUAAAAGCAUUUAGGACUCUUUAGGAGUGGUGCUCCUCUUGCAAAUGAGGGAGUCUUUGUGCCAGUGCCUCAGUGGGACCAACGCUGGAGCAGAAGCUGCGAGAGGAGGGCAGUGGUGGAAAUGUUCUAGAUGUGUGCCGCUGGAUUCGGUAGCUGCCCGCCCCAUAUGGCUACUGAACACUUGGAGUGGGGCUAGAGAAGCUGAGGAAUUACAUUUUAAAUUUCAUGUAGUUUUAACUAAUUUAAAAAAUUUCUAUAGCUACAUGUGGCAGUGACAACCUAGUUAGACAGUAGAGACUAAAUCUAGAGCCUAGAACCACGUGAUCUGCCCGCCUCAGCCUCCCAAAGUGCUAGGAUUACAGGCAUGAGCCACGGCACCUGGCCCUGCUAAAUCUUUUUAAACCCACUGUUGACACCUGUUGCUCAGAAAAAAAAGAUUCCUUUCAAACAUUACUGCUCAUUGACAAUGGACCUGGUCACCUGAGACAUCUGAUGGAGAUGCGCACGGAGAUGAAUGUUUUCACGCCUGUGAACACACCAUCCAUUCUGCAGCAGGUAAAGAGCCGAGGCACAGAGAAGUUGGACAACCUGCCCACAGCCAAGGCUGCAGUCACAAUGGGCAAAGGGUUUAUCACAUGCUCUAUGUUGCUGCUAUUCAAACCUGACGUCUUGCUGGACUCACUGGACAUACCACCUCAGUGCCGAAAUUAAGGCAGUGCUAAAAAAUAAAAAGAGAAGAAGAUGGAGGAAGGUCAAAGGACACAGGAGGCAAUGUGGAAGAGCUCCCAAUGGCCAAAGUUGGAGCAAUUUGGGAAAUAAGAAGAACUCCAAACAAUAUGUGUGAAUAUUCCAUUCCUUGGCUGGGAGCAGUGACUCACACCUGUAAUCCCAGCACUUUGGGAGGCCAAGAGCCUCCAGAAAGGAGGCUUCGUUUCAGCCUCCUAAGAGCCUGAGCAGAGAACCCAGCUGGCACUUCUGGCCCGCAGAAUUGUAAGCUCAUAAAUGGGUGUCAUUUGAAGCCACUAAAUUAUAGUGAUUUGUUACAUAGCAAUAUAAGACUAAAACAUUACACAAAAAAUAAAGUGACCAUUGAAAAAUUUGAGGGACACUCAGUCAAAAACCACCAGGUUUACAUUCAGAUCUUUUGCUUGUUAACAUGUCUGCUAACCUAGGAGGAAAGAAGGCGGAAAGGCUCCUGAGAAUGUGAGCUCAGAAACGGAGUCUUCCCAGAGAGACUGGACCAUGACCAGCCAGCACUGCCACUGAGGAGAGACUGGCAGUGGCAGGGAGAAUGCACAAGACAUUCUCUAAGAUUCCUUUUCAUCUUAUAAUUCUGUGGCUCACAAUAUUCUAAAAUUCAUUCAUUCAUUCAUUAGUUCAUUCACUCAUCAAAUAUUUAUUGCAAAGCUAUCACAUGCCAGGAGCUGGUUACAUGUAAUGUUGUAAAAGUUUUUACAGAUGUGAUUAAGUUAUUUAAAAAAACAAAAGCAGAAUAGGUAGAGUAUUAAUCC